CUUCAGAUUCUAGCAAGGAGGUGUGGAGCUACUUUGACCCUGUAUAAUGGUGGAAAAGCGAAUUAUGCCCUGUGUCACCCAGUCUGAAGGGGGUUUGGACAAACUGUUAAAAUUUCUGGAUCUCAGAAAGCUGUGGGAGAACGGAGGUGUGCUAUUCAUCAAAGGCCUGCAACACAUUCUAGAAAAGCUGGGAUGGUAGCACAUUUACACUGUUCUUCCCGGGGAAAGACUGAAGCCGCUGCAGUUUUCUGAUGUGUGCAAAGCUGAAG